CAUAACAUUUUCUUUGGAUUUAUUUCUUUUAUACGUGUUUCAUCAGUUCCUCUCUAUUUAGAAAUUUUCUUCCUUCUUCUCCUUCACGAUCUUACUCCAUAAUCUUGCGAUUAUCUCUAUAUUUUCAUUUUCUUCUUAUUUUCUUGCACAAUCAUCUCCACGAUUGUUCCCUAUUUGUCAUUGAUCUGUUGUUUUUAUUUUUUCGAAUUAGUGAAGCCGGCUAUGCGAACUUCCAAACGUUCAAAGACGGCUGAAGCUUUUUCUAUUGUUGCUGAAAUGGCUAAAAUAAAAACACCAUAACUGGAAAAAAAACCUGACAAACAUGUUUCAUCGAAACAACAAAGGAAGAUAGGUAGGUGGAAGACGCUACUGCCGCCGAUAAACAAGCAAAAAUAAGUCUACUAGUCUUGUGAAAAAGAAAGUGUCGUUUGAGUUGAUGGAUGAUGACAGCGGUGUCGAUAAAUGUGUGAAGAGUACUGUUGGUGCAAAGAGAAAAGCUUCCGUUGAAUUUUUUUAACAUGAAGAAGCCUCGGUCAAGAAAUUGAUGAAGGUAUCAUUUAUUUUAUUUUAUUUUGUAUAGUUAAUUUUUUGACUUGUAGUGCUUGUUAUCCGGUCUGUUAUUGUAUGUAUUUUUUAUCUUAUUGUAUUCUGUUUUUUAAACACUUAUAAAUAAAUUUUUC